rnacentral:rRNA from 1 species
CCGUAGCCCAAGAGAUCGGGAUAACACCUGGAAACAGAUGCUAAUACCGGAUAACAACAGAUGAUGCCUAUCAACUGUUUAAAAGAUGGUUCUGCUAUCACUCUUGGAUGGACCUGCGGUGCAUUAGCUAGUUGGUAGGGUAACGGCCCACCAAGGCGAUGAUGCAUAGCCGAGUUGAGAGACUGAUCGGCCACAUUGGGACUGAGACACGGCCCAAACUCCUACGGGAGGCAGCAGCC